rnacentral:rRNA from 1 species
UACGGAGGGUGCAAGCGUUAUCCGGAUUCACUGGGUUUAAAGGGUGCGUAGGAGGGCAGGUAAGUCAGUGGUGAAAUCUCCGAGCUUAACUUGGAAACUGACGUUGAUACUAUCUGUCUUGAAUAUUGUGGAGGUGAGCGGAAUAUGUCAUGUAGCGGUGAAAUGCUUAGAUAUGACAUAGAACACCAAUUGCGAAGGCAGCUCGCUACACAUAUAUUGACUCUGAGGCACGAAAGCGUGGGGAUCAAACAGG